rnacentral:rRNA from 1 species
UACGGAGGGUGCGAGCGUUGCUCGGAAUCAUUGGGCGUAAAGCGUGCGUAGGCGGCUGCGCAAGUCGGUUGUGAAACCCCGGGGCUCAACCCCGGAACUGCAUCCGAUACUGCGUGGCUAGAGGUAGGUAGGGGAGAUCGGAAUUCCUGGUGUAGCGGUGAAAUGCGCAGAUAUCAGGAGGAACACCGGUGGCGAAGGCGGAUCUCUGGGCCUUACCUGACGCUCAGGCACGAAAGCUAGGGGAGCGAACAGG